rnacentral:rRNA from 1 species
GACGAACGCUGGCGGCGUGCUUUACACAUGCAAGUCGAACGGAAAGGCCCUGCUUGCAGGGUACUCGAGUGGCGAACGGGUGAGUAACACGUGGGUGAUCUGCCCUGCACUUCGGGAUAAGCCUGGGAAACUGGGUCUAAUACCGGAUAGGAGCCAUUUUUAGUGUGAUGGUUGGAAAGUUUUUUCGGUGUAGGAUGAGCUCGCGGCCUAUCAGCUUGUUGGUGGGGUAAUGGCCUACCAAGGCGGCGACGGGUAGCCGGCCUGAGAGGGUGGACGGCCACAUUGGGACUGAGAUACGGCCCAGACUCCUACGGGAGGCAGCAGUGGGGAAUAUUGCACAAUGGGCGCAAGCCUGAUGCAGCGACGCCGCGUGGGGGAUGACGGCCUUCGGGUUGUAAACUCCUUUCGCUAGGGACGAAGCUUUUUGUGACGGUACCUAGAGAAGAAGCACCGGCUAACUACGUG